rnacentral:rRNA from 1 species
UACAGAGGUCCCCAGCGUUGUUCUGAUUCACUGGGCGUAAAGGGGGCGGAGGCGGUCGGGUAAGUCUGACGUGAAAUCUCCAAGCCUAACUUGGAAACUGCGUUGGAUACUAUCCGGCUUGAGGAAUGGAGGGGAGACUGGAAUACUUGGUGUAGCAGUGAAAUGCGUAGAUAUCAAGUGGAACACCAGUGGCGAAGGCGAGUCUCUGGACAUUUCCUGACGCUGAGGCACGAAAGCCAGGGGAGCAAACGGG